rnacentral:rRNA from 1 species
AACGAACGCUGGCGGCAGGCUUAACACAUGCAAGUCGAACGCCCCGCAAGGGAGUGGCGCACGGGUGGAGUAACGCGUGGGAAUAUGCCCUUCGGUUCGGAAUAACACAGGGAAACUUGUGCUAAUACCGGAUACGAUCUACGGAUGAAGAUUUAUCGCCGAGGGAGUAGCCCACGUAGGAUUAGCUAGUUGGUGAGGUAAUGGCUCACCAAGGCGACGAUCCUUAGCUGGUCUGAGAGGAUGAUCAGCCACACUGGGACUGAGACACGGCCCAGACUCCUACGGGAGGCAGCAGUGGGGAAUAUUGGACAAUGGGCGAAAGCCUGAUCCAGCCAUGCCGCGUGAGUGAUGAAGGCCUUA